UAGUAGUUAAACUUGGUGUUGUAUUUAUUUGUACAAUUAAAAAUGGUUUUGCUUUUGUAAAAGAGAGUUAUUGACCUCCAUUCAAUUAUGUGGGAUCUUGUGAAUUGGUAGUUAAUAGAGAUGUUAUUUUUAAGUUGAACUAAUAUUACUUUAUUCUAGGGAUUUUCAAAAAACUACACAAAAUUUCACAACUAUUUUAGGAGAAGUAUCAUUUGGUCAGUCUAUAAAGCCAUAAUGCUUACUGGUGGAGUAAUAGAUGUAAACGUACUUGCAUCCAAUUCUCAUCAGGGGAGAAAGAGUUCCACAUAGAGGUAGAAGCUGACGAAAUACCUGAGAAACUAAGGAACACUCUAUUUCUGUUGUGCCUUGUCUUCUUUAAGGGAACCAGCUACAAUACAAAGUACAGUUUAUUUGGGUAAAUCAAGAUAAUAAUGCUGAGGUCAAACUGUGAGUUUCAACUAUUAAGGAAACAACAACGUUUAAUGCUUGAUAUGAAGUGUUGUCGUAUUGCAUUUGAUGGCAAUGUUAUCAUUAUCACAAGCCAACUUAUUGUUUCUUCCAGGGACUUCUGCUGAUUAUUAUCAACUAAAAGUAUCAAAAGAAAACAGGCAAGCUUCCAUUGAUAUUUUCUUGAAGGCAAAUGGAUACCUGGAUUGUGCUAUCAGACAUGUUCUCCCUCAGUUGCCAUCUGAAAUCAGAUUGGAGCAGAAAUUUGCCCGACAGAAGGAGUUUGUCGACCACUUUGUUUGCAAGCAUUAGGAACUCAUCUUGGACAUAAUUUAUGUCUAUUGUGGUUGCAUUAUAAUUUUAAUCUUUUGAUAAUCUACAGUCUAAGCUAAUGAAUCCCACGAAAAAAACAUAGAUACAACUUUUUUUAUUAUAUAUUUUUUUUAACAUUUAAAUUAAUACAUAAUUGUAUUUUAUUCCCACAAGUAAAGCUGCGGGCUUGAAAUCUAGUUAUAUAGAAACUUUUAACUGAAUUUGAUAUCACAGAUGACACAAAUUUAUUCUGUGAAUCAACUAAGGUCUUAUUUGGAUUUAAAAACGACUCGGUGAUGUGUGUUUAAUGGUACAAAUUGUCACUUUUUGAUUUGGGUAACAAUUUUGCAGCCUUCCAU